rnacentral:rRNA from 1 species
UACGGAGGGGGCUAGCGUUGUUCGGAAUUACUGGGCGUAAAGCGCGCGUAGGCGGACCUGCAAGUCGGGGGUGAAAGCCCGAGGCUCAACCUCGGAACUGCCUUCGAUACUGCGGGUCUCGAGUCCGGGAGAGGUGAGUGGAAUUCUUAGUGUAGAGGUGAAAUUCGUAGAUAUUAGGAAGAACACCAGUGGCGAAGGCGGCUAACUGGUCCAGCACUGACGCUGAGGUGCGAAAGCGUGGGGAGCAAACAGG